rnacentral:rRNA from 1 species
UACAGAGACUGCAAGCGUUAUUCGGAUUCACUGGGCGUAAAGGGUGCGCAGGCGGCCGUGUGUGUCAGGUGUGAAAGCCCGGAGCUUAACUCCGGAAUUGCGCCUGAAACUACAUGGCUAGAGCAUUGGAGAGGGUAGCGGAGUUCACGGUGUAGCAGUGAAAUGCGUAGAUAUCGUGAGGAACACCAGAGGCGAAGGCGGCUACCUGGACAAUUGCUGACGCUCAGGCACGAAAGCGUGGGGAGCAAAAGGG